rnacentral:rRNA from 1 species
AACGAACGCUGGCGGCAGGCCUAACACAUGCAAGUCGAGCGAGGACUUCGGUUCUAGCGGCGGACGGGUGAGUAACGCGUAGGAAUGUGCCCUUCUCUACGGAAUAGCCCUGGGAAACUGGGAGUAAUACCGUAUACGCCCUAUUGGGGAAAGAUUUAUCGGAGAAGGAUCAGCCCGCGUUGGAUUAGGUAGUUGGUGGGGUAAUGGCCUACCAAGCCGACGAUCCAUAGCUGGUUUGAGAGGAUGAUCAGCCACACUGGGACUGAGACACGGCCCAGACUCCUACGGGAGGCAGCAGUGGGGAAUCUUAGACAAUGGGGGCAACCCUGAUCUAGCCAUGCCGCGUGAGUGAUGAAGGCCUUAGGGUUGUAAAGCUCUUUCAGCUGGGAAGAUAAUGACGGUACCAGCAGAAGAAGCCCCGGCUAACUCCGUG